GUGGGGAAUAUUGGACAAUGGGCGAAAGCCUGAUCCAGCCACGCCGCGUGAGUGAUGAAGGCCCUCGGGUCGUAAAGCUCUGUGGAGAGGGACGAAACCUUAUGCGUUAAUAGCGCAUAAAUUGACGGUACCUCCUUAGCAAGCACCGGCUAACUCCGUGCCAGCAGCCGCGGUAAUACGGGGGGUGCAAACGUUGCUCGGAAUUAUUGGGCGUAAAGCGCACGUAGGCGGUCCGGUAAGUCGGAUGUGAAAGCCCUCGGCUCAACCGAGGAAGUGCAUUCGAAACUGCCAGACUUGAGUACGGGAGAGGAUCGCGGAAUUCCCGGUGUAGAGGUGAAAUUCGUAGAUAUCGGGAGGAACACCAGUGGCGAAGGCGGCGAUCUGGACCGAUACUGACGCUGAGGUGCGAAAGCGUGGGGAGCAAACAGG
rnacentral:rRNA from 1 species